AACGAACGCUGGCGGCGUGCCUAACACAUGCAAGUCGAACGAGAAAGGGGCUUCGGCUCCGAGUAAAGUGGCGCACGGGUGAGUAACACGUAGGUAACCUGCCUCUAAGAUUGGGAUAACUUGUCGAAAGAUGAGCUAAUACCAAAUAAGACCACGGUUCCCUCGGGGACAGAGGUCAAAGGUAGCCUCUAUUUAUAAGCUAUCGCUGAGAGAUGGGCCUGCGUACCAUUAGCUAGNGGUGAGGUAACGGCUCACCAAGGCAAAGAUGGUUAGCUGGUCUGAGAGGAUGAUCAGCCACACUGGAACUGAGACACGGUCCAGACUCCUACGGGAGGCAGCAGUGGGGAAUAUUGCGCAAUGGGCGAAAGCCUGACGCAGCAACGCCGCGUGAGUGAUGAAGGCC
rnacentral:rRNA from 1 species